rnacentral:misc_RNA from 1 species
CCGGUUAUCGGUUGUUGCAAGUGACAGGAAAAUUGGAUCACGCGCACGGUGUUCCGGGCAACAUCGAACCAACGGUGCCGUGAUCUCUGAUACGACCUCUGUUACCUGACAGGGGCCUGUAGCUCAGUUGGUUAGAGCACCGUCUUGAUAAGGCGGGGGUCGAUGGUUCGAAUCCAUCCAGACCCACCACUGAAUCGCGGCGAAGGGUUGCGAGCCAGUCGAGGCGCGAGGGCCCGACGUGUACAAGACGUACACGAGGGCCUGAGCAACGAAGAAUGGCGAAGCAAGAGGGGCUGUAGCUCAGUUGGGAGAGCACCUGCUUUGCAAGCAGGGGGUCGUCGGUUCGAUCCCGUCCAGCUCCACCAUCGAGUUGGGAUCGGCCCGCGAUUGGCGGUCAAGAAUCCAGAAGCAAGCGGCAAGGGUUUUCGUCCUGCUGUUUGCUUCUGGUUUCGUUGAAACCAGGUAUCGGUUGUUCUUUAACAAUACGGAAGAAGUAAAGCAAUCUUGCUCGACGGGCAGGAACGAUGGCGCGAGCCUUUGUUCCGGCGCGAAGAGCGGGAUGGGUUGGAUUGUAUCGACCUGCUGUUCCCUAUGAGUUCGGGAGCGGCGGGUAGCGCAAACACCGUAGCCUGGGCGGCAGCAGUGCUCAGCGUUAUGGGGUCAAGCGACUAAGUGCAUGUGGUGGAUGCCUUGGCGAUUACAGGCGAUGAAGGACGUGGCAGCCUGCGAAAAGCUGCGGGGAGCUGGCAAACGAGCAUUGAUCCGCAGAUGUCCGAAUGGGGAAACCCGGAAUCACUAGUG